GAUGAACGCUGGCGGCGUGCCUAAUACAUGCAAGUCGAGCGAACGGACGAGAAGCUUGCUUCUCUGAUGUUAGCGGCGGACGGGUGAGUAACACGUGGAUAACCUACCUAUAAGACUGGGAUAACUUCGGGAAACCGGAGCUAAUACCGGAUAAUAUUUUGAACCGCAUGGUUCAAAAGUGAAAGACGGUCUUGCUGUCACUUAUAGAUGGAUCCGCGCUGCAUUAGCUAGUUGGUAAGGUAACGGCUUACCAAGGCAACGAUGCAUAGCCGACCUGAGAGGGUGAUCGGCCACACUGGAACUGAGACACGGUCCAGACUCCUACGGGAGGCAGCAGUAGGGAAUCUUCCGCAAUGGGCGAAAGCCUGACGGAGCAACGCCGCGUGAGUGAUGAAGGUCUUCGGAUCGUAAAACUCUGUUAUUAGGGAAGAACAUAUGUGUAAGUAACUGUGCACAUCUUGACGGUACCUAAUCAGAAAGCCACGGCUAACUACGUGCCAGCAGCCGCGGUAAUACGUAGGUGGCAAGCGUUAUCCGGAAUUAUUGGGCGUAAAGCGCGCGUAGGCGGUUUUUUAAGUCUGAUGUGAAAGCCCACGGCUCAACCGUGGAGGGUCAUUGGAAACUGGAAAACUUGAGUGCAGAAGAGGAAAGUGGAAUUCCAUGUGUAGCGGUGAAAUGCGCAGAGAUAUGGAGGAACACCAGUGGCGAAGGCGACUUUCUGGUCUGUAACUGACGCUGAUGUGCGAAAGCGUGGGGAUCAAACAGGAUUAGAUACCCUGGUAGUCCACGCCGUAAACGAUGAGUGCUAAGUGUUAGGGGGUUUCCGCCCCUUAGUGCUGCAGCUAACGCAUUAAGCACUCCGUCUGGGGAGUACGACCGCAAGGUUGAAACUCAAAGGAAUUGACGGGGACCCGCACAAGCGGUGGAGCAUGUGGUUUAAUUCGAAGCAACGCGAAGAACCUUACCAAAUCUUGACAUCCUUUGACAACUCUAGAGAUAGAGCUUUCCCCUUCGGGGGACAAAGUGACAGGUGGUGCAUGGUUGUCGUCAGCUCGUGUCGUGAGAUGUUGGGUUAAGUCCCGCAACGAGCGCAACCCUUAAGCUUAGUUGCCAUCAUUAAGUUGGGCACUCUAAGUUGACUGCCGGUGACAAACCGGAGGAAGGUGGGGAUGACGUCAAAUCAUCAUGCCCCUUAUGAUUUGGGCUACACACGUGCUACAAUGGACAAUACAAAGGGCAGCGAAACCGCGAGGUCAAGCAAAUCCCAUAAAGUUGUUCUCAGUUCGGAUUGUAGUCUGCAACUCGACUACAUGAAGCUGGAAUCGCUAGUAAUCGUAGAUCAGCAUGCUACGGUGAAUACGUUCCCGGGUCU
rnacentral:rRNA from 1 species